GAUGAACGCUAGCGGCAGGCUUAAUACAUGCAAGUCGAGGGGCAGCACAGGUAGCAAUACUGGGUGGCGACCGGCAAACGGGUGCGGAACACGUACACAACCUUCCUUAAGGUGUGGGGUAGCCCAGAGAAAUUUGGAUUAAUACCACAUAGCAUAUUGGGUUGGCAUCAGCCUGAUAUUAAAGAUUUAUUGCCUUAAGAUGGGUGUGCGUAUGAUUAGGUAGUUGGUUGGGGUAACGGCUCACCAAGCCAUCGAUCAUUAACUGGUGUGAGAGCCCGACCAGUCACACGGGCACUGAGACACGGGUCCGACUCCUACGGGAUGCAUCAGUAAGGAAUAUUGUUCACUGGACGAAAGUCUGAACCAGCCGUGCCGCGUGAAGGAUGAAGGUCCUCUGGAUUGUAAACUUCUUUUAUAGGGGGCGAAAAAAGGGAAUUUUUUCCCGUCUGACGGUACCCUAUGAAUAAGCACCGGCUAACUCCGUGCCAGCCGCCGCGGUAAGAC
rnacentral:rRNA from 1 species